rnacentral:snRNA from 1 species
AUACUAGCUACGGCUGUACAUAUUCUAAAAUCAGAAUGAUACAGAGAAGAUUAGCAUGGCCCCUGCACAAGGAUGACAUGAAAAUUUGUGAAGCGUUCCAUAUUUUC